rnacentral:sRNA from 1 species
GAGACUAACAAUAAGGCAUGGCGGCGAUU